CAAGGCUCUCACCUCCCCCCCUCGGCAUAAUAAAAACAUCUUCCUUUUCAGGGCUCCCCACCAACUCUGUGGGGCCCAACCAUAAUGCUCCCCACUGGUCGACUUACAACCCAGUGGGGACACGUCCAACCUGGUACCUCCUCCAGGUUCACCAUAAGAGACCGGGGGAGGAUGAGACCUGGCCAUUAUCCUCCUUUUUCAUCUAAUCUACCAAACAAUCCCUUAUUUGGCAAGGACAUGCCC